rnacentral:rRNA from 1 species
GACGAACGCUGGCGGCGUGCUUAACACAUGCAAGUCGAACGGAAAGGCCCUGCUUUUGUGGGGUGCUCGAGUGGCGAACGGGUGAGUAACACGUGAGUAACCUGCCCUUGACUUUGGGAUAACUUCAGGAAACUGGGGCUAAUACCGGAUAGGAGCUCCUGCUGCAUGGUGGGGGUUGGACAGUUUCGGCGGUUGGGGCUGGACUCGCGGCUUAUCAGCUUGUUGGUGGGGUAGUGGCGUACCAAGGCUUUGACGGGUAGCCGGCCUGAGAGGGUGACCGGCCACAUGGGGACUGCGAUACGGCCCAGACUCCUACGGGAGGCAGCAGUGGGGAAUAUUGCACAAUGGGCGGAAGCCUGAUGCAGCAACGCCGCGUGCGGGAUGACGGCCUUCGGGUUGUAAACCGCUUUCGCCUGUGACGAAGCGUGAGUGACGGUAAUGGGUAAAGAAGCACCGGCUAACUACGUG